AUUGAACGCUGGCGGCAGGCCUAACACAUGCAAGUCGAGCGGAGCGGCGGACGGGUGAGUAAUGUCUGGGAAACUGCCUGAUAGAGGGGGAUAACGACCGGAAACGGGCGCUAAUACCGCAUACCAUCAGAUGUGCCCAGGUGGGAUUAGCUAGUGGGUGGGGUAACGGCUUACCAAGGCGACGAUCCGUAGCUGGUCUGAGAGGAUGACCAGCCACACUUGAACUGAGACACGGUCCAGCCUCCUACGGGAGGCAGCAGUGGGGAAUAUUGGACAAUGGGCGCAAGCCUGAUCCAGCCAUGCCGCGUGUGUGAAGAAGGUCUUCGGGUUGUAAAGCACUUUAAGUUGGGAGGCGUUACCAGCAGAAUAAGCACCGGCUAACUCCGUGCCAGCAGCCGCGGUAAUUC
rnacentral:rRNA from 1 species